GGCGAACGGGUGAGUAACACGUGGGUGAUCUACCUCUGAGUGGGGGAUAACGUUCCGAAAGGAGCGCUAAUACCGCAUGACGUUCUGGGUUUGAAGACCUGGAAACCAAAGCCGGGGACCGCAAGGCCUGGCGCUAGGAGAGGAGCCCGCGCCUGAUUAGCUAGUUGGCGGGGUAACGGCCCACCAAGGCGACGAUCAGUAGCCGGCCUGAGAGGGCGGACGGCCACACUGGGACUGAGACACGGCCCAGACUCCUACGGGAGGCAGCAGUGGGGAAUUGUUCGCAAUGGGCGCAAGCCUGACGACGCAACGCCGCGUGGAGGAUGAAGGUCUUCGGAUUGUAAACUCCUGUUGCUCGGGACGAAAAGCCUCGACCUAACACGUCGAGGUCUGACGGUACCGGGUGAGGAAGCCCCGGCUAACUCUGUGCCAGCAGCCGCGGUAAUACAGAGGGGGCAAGCGUUGUUCGGAAUUACUGGGCGUAAAGGGCGCGUAGGCGGCCUGCUAAGUCGAACGUGAAAUACCCGGGCUCAACCCGGGAACUGCGUCCGAUACUGGCAGGCUUGAAUCCGGGAGAGGGAUGCGGAAUUCCAGGUGUAGCGGUGAAAUGCGUAGAUAUCUGGAGGAACACCGGUGGCGAAGGCGGCAUCCUGGACCGGCAUUGACGCUGAGGCGCGAAAGCUAGGGGAGCAAACGGGAUUAGAUACCCCGGUAGUCC
rnacentral:rRNA from 1 species